rfam:Mucinivorans hirudinis complete genome
GAGAGCCGUAUACGUGGAGACAUGUACGUACGGUUCGGGGGCGAGUAUCCGCAAUCCUACCACAGAAAUGUGGUGACUGGCAGCGGAUGCUUAGCCUAC